UACGUAGGGUGCGAGCGUUAAUCGGAAUUACUGGGCGUAAAGAGCGCGCAGGCGGUCGUUCAAGUCGAGUGUGAAAGCCCCCGGCUCAACUGGGGAGGGUCAUUCGAUACUGAUCGACUUGAAGGCAGGAGAGGGAAGCGGAAUUCCCGGUGCAGUGGUGAAAUGCGUAGAUAUCGGGAGGAACACCAGUGGCGAAGGCGGCUUCCUGGCCUGUUCUUGACGCUGAGGCGCGAAAGCUAGGGGAGCAAACGGG
rnacentral:rRNA from 1 species